GGUGAGAUGGCUGAAUUAUUAGGCGAUAGACUGUAAAUCUAUUUAUGGGAACAUUCUCUCUCUCACCA
rnacentral:tRNA from 1 species